UACGUAGGGUGCAAGCGUUGUCCUGAAUUAUUGGGCGUAAAGAGCUCGUAGGCGGUCUGUCGCGUCUGCUGUGAAAACUCGGGGCUUAACCCCGGGCCUGCAGUGGGUACGGGCAGACUAGAGUGCGGUAGGGGAGACUGGAAUUCCUGGUGUAGCGGUGAAAUGCGCAGAUAUCAGGAAGAACACCGGUGGCGAAGGCGGCCUGCUGGGCAGUUUAGCUGACACUGAGGCGCGAAAGCGUGGGGAGCAAACAGG
rnacentral:rRNA from 1 species